rnacentral:rRNA from 1 species
GAUGAACGCUGGCGGCGUGCCUAAUACAUGCAAGUCGAGCGAACAGACGAGGAGCUUGCUCCUCUGACGUUAGCGGCGCACGGGUGAGUAACACGUGGAUAACCUACCUAUAAGACUGGGAUAACUUCGGGAAACCGGAGCUAAUACCGGAUAAUAUAUUGAACCGCAUGGUUCAAUAGUGAAAGACGGUUUUGCUGUCACUUAUAGAUGGAUCCGCGCCGCAUUAGCUAGUUGGUAAGGUAACGGCUUACCAAGGCAACGAUGCGUAGCCGACCGGAGAGGGUGAUCGGCCACACUGGAACUGAGACACGGUCCAGACUCCUACGGGAGGCAGCAGUAGGGAAUCUUCCGCAAUGGGCGAAAGCCUGACGGAGCAACGCCGCGUGAGUGAUGAAGGUCUUCGGAUCGUAAAACUCUGUUAUUAGGGAAGAACAAAUGUGUAAGUAACUAUGCACGUCUUGACGGUACCUAAUCAGAAAGCCACGGCUAACUACGUG